rnacentral:rRNA from 1 species
AUGACUUUCGGGAAAAACUCAGCACCAGCGAGCGAGCGUGCCGCUCUUUCGCGGCAUCGCCUGCCCCAUUUGAUGAGCCUACACCCACAGGCGGGCCGCGCCGCGGCACGCGCGGCAGAGCAUGGAGCCAUCGCCGGCCUGGCCGCCGCCACCUCCAGGAUCGCCUCCCACGGCCGCGCCGGCGACGCCGCCGCGGCGCGCGCCGUGUUCGACGCGAUGCCCCGCCGCGACGCCGUCGCGUGGAACGCCAUGCUCACCGCCUACGCCCGCGCCGGCCAGCCGCGCGCGGCCCUCGCGCUCUUCGCCGGCAUGGGCACGCCGGACGCCUUCUCCCUCACCGCAGCGCUCUCCGCGGCGGCCUCCCUCCGCUGCCCUCACGCAGGCGCGCAGCUCCACGCCCGCCUCCUCCGCCUCGGCCUGCGCGCGCCGCUCCCCGUCGGCAACGCGCUCGUCGCCAUGUACGCCAGGUGCGCCCGCGCAGACGACGCCGCGCGCGCCUUCCGGGAGAUGCGCGACCGCAACGCGCUGUCGUGGUGCUCGCUCCUCCACGCCUACGUCGCCUCGGGCCGUAUGGCGCUGGCGCGCGAGCUGUUUGACGAAAUGCCCGCUGGAAGCAUCAGCAGUGUUGCCUGGAACACGCUGCUCACGGGGUAUUCCCGCAGUGGCAAUGCCGAGCAGUGUCUGCUUCUGUUCAACGAGAUGCGGGUGUCGGGGCUGUCUUGCGACGAUGCAACGCUCUGCAUUCUAAUCGACGCUUGCACGGAGCUGCGCUACCCAUCCACCGGGGUUGCAGUCCACAAGAUCGUUGUGCAGAGUGGCUGGAAUGCAAUCCCCGAAGUCAAUAACUCACUUAUUUCCUUCUACAGUAAGUUCAGCUUGCUAGAUCAUGCCGUCAAGAUCUUCGAGUCUAUGGUGAGUAGAACCGUCGUGUCCUGGAAUUCACUGAUCGAUGCAUACACAAGGCUUGGCCACAUUGAACAAGCUGCUGCUCUGUUUCAAAGUGCUCCUGAGACCAAUGCCAUCUCCUGGACUUCGAUGAUUGGAGGUUUUGCGAGGAAUGGCUGCGCAGAUGAUGCCCUUGCACUAUUUGUCAAGAUGCUGGCACACGAGCAUAUCUGUCGAUAG